CUUAGGACAUCUAGCCUUACAGAGGCCAGAAUGCCCUCUAGACUAAGCCAAGAACUCACACAGCUCAGUGUCACAUGCUUACUGUAAACUGUAGAAUCUACUUGUCUACCUGCUUCCAGUCUUCAAGCUCUAGAGCCCAAACCACAGCCUGCUCUGGAGCCAGAGCCAAAGCAAUGCUUCCAUCUAAAGCCGGAGCCCCACACAGGUAUGAAACAGUUGUCAGAAAUAGCAGUGACACAAAGUGACUGCCCAUCCCAGAGGAAACUCUCAGCAGUAAAACAACCUCAGAGCUAAGCCCACCACCCACCGAAGAAAGGAUACAGGUUCUUUGGAGCAAGUCCCAUCUCUGUUGUCUGGAAAUCAGCAGUUCAGUUCACAGAUUAGCAGCGGCUGCUCAAUCCACUCGCAAACACUUUACGGAUAUACUAGCAGUCCAGUUUGGUUAGAGCCAGAAUAGCAAACAUAAAUCAGAAGUGGUGGCAUGACCUAGCAGGGAUAGCCAGGCCUUGGCAGGAGGGACCAAGAGGGACAGCAGGAGAAGUUCUCAGCUGUGCCUCUCUUGAGUGAAGAUCAGUGAAGACUCGAGACCCACAACUUUUGCAUAGCCAGCUAUAUAGCAAGCCAAGCUCUGUUUCAGUAGCUGUCCGGCAAGUCCUAUUUAUACUCUCCAAACAUCAUUUGUCCUCCAUGGGACUUGCCUCAGCACAUGCAUCUAUCUCAGCUGACAUCACUCUGCCAAUCAGCCUGAGUCCGAGGAAGCAGCAAGAAACUGCAGCACACCCCCAGAAGUUUUUUGGUCCAUUUCUGUCUACGACACCUUGACAAGUGCAUCUCAGCUACACAAUGUAAGUUGGACCAUCAUGCAUGUCGUUAGCAUAGAAUUCUUCAUCAUGUGUCCUUUCAUAUGCUUGCUUUAGCACAACAUCCUCUCUCCUGUAUCUGCUUCAGUGAAACGUUCCUUCACAAGUCUGCCUUAGCCUUUCACCUGUGUCCUCUUCAGGAAAACACUCCUUCAUGUGUUUGCCCCAGCAAAGCACCAUCCAACUGACUUUCCAAUGAACCCUUAAGUUUCUACUUCAAGGAAGUGUGCCAUGGCGGGGGGGUGUGGACUUUGAUGCUUCAGAAAGAAGCUCAAGGAAGGUCCAGUGUCUCUCUCUUUCUGCUGCUUGUGGAUCUGGAUGUAGAACUCUAAGCUACUUCUCCAGUACCGUGUCUGCCUGUGUGACACCAUGCUUUCCAGCAUGACAAUGGGCUAAACCUCUAAAACUGUAAGCAAGCCUCCAAAGAGCCUGUCUUUUCAUAGCAAUAGAACAGUGGCUAAGACAAUGGGGAUCACUGGUGCUUGCCACUUUUGAUAAAUAACAACCCAACAAGGUCUAGAGAGCCUAGAGACUCUAGACACUGCAGGGAUAGAAGGAAGAACAGAGCAGGGCGCCUUGGGAAGGAAGGGUGUCUGCAGAAGGUGGCAUCCAGAACACAGUACAUGAGAUGGGCCAGGAGGUGCUCUUUCACAAGGUAACUUCAGCAUGGACAGAUCCAAGUGAACAAGAAAAGAAAACAAGUGACAGGAGUUUGUUCCUGGCCCAGCCUCUGGUUAGAACAAAUCCACAGUGCCAUGUGGCAUAUGUUGCCUGUGUUUCUUCUGCCCCUUCAUGCAGAAAUACCAAAGGAUAAGGAAGGCUCACCCACAGCACAAACACUGACUAGUCCAGGUAAGAUAUUUUCUAAGUCACUUUAGGGAGAUGUUUCCUCAGCUUGCUCAGGCUUGCGCUCAGUGGGGAUUAGAUGGGAUCACAUCCAGAAAAGCCCAAUUCCUGUCAAAGACUGGCAUGGUGGGGGAUGGAGUGAGAGAGUGGCAAACACUCCCCACUAUCGAAUAGAAAUCUCUUCUUAAAACUCUGGUAAACACUAUAAACUCCCCCGAAAAUACACAUUUGACCAGGACCUGUUUUGUCUGCAGUUAGUGAAUAGUCUUUAGGAACCUACUGAACCGGGAUUUGGGUACAAGUGCUAGGAGACAGGAUAAAUAGCUUUACUGCCAAAUAUUCACAUGCCUGAAGGAACAAUGUGUUUAUGGACAGGAGUCAGCAAACCACUGAAUCCCAUAAAUAGAAACAGACCAAUAUAGGAUGGCCCUUUCAAGCACUGCAGAGGGAGUGGUACCCUGACCCCUAAGCCCCUGCAUUUGUCCCUGGCAGCAAUGGCUUCGUACUACCAUGAACAUAUUCAGUAGAGUCUUUGGCUGAUGUCUUCCUCUUUUCUUUUUGUGCGUGUUUAUAUGUAUGCAUGUUGGUGUGUGUACAUAUGCAUGUGUACACAUUGUCAUGAGUCUCUGGAGGUCAGAGGUCAACUUUGGAUGUGUGUUUUGAGAUGGCGGCCAUUGCACUAGCCAGAAGUUUGCCAAGCAGGCUAGGUUAACUGGCCAGGGGUCCUGUCUCCAUCUCCAUGCUUGGAUUACAAGCAAACAUCUGCCACCACCCCCAGCUUUUUUAUAGGGGACAUAGGGCAUGGGGGAGGGGUGGGUUGGAACUCAUCUUGCAUAAAAGCGCUUUUCUCAAUGAGCCAUCUCCCCAGCCCCUGAUGUCAUUUUCCCUUUUCUCUGCAUUGAGCAUCAAGCCCACUGCUGCAGCCAUUCAUCCAGGUGAGUGCUCUGACUUGAGCUACAUCCCCAGUCCCAUUGGCCCCAUAGAUGUAUGCAACUUAAGGCUACUUAAACCCUUGCUCCAGAUCCCCAGUCAAUCUCUCCACAGCUCCUCCGCUGAAGAGCAGAGGAUGCUCUGGCUGGGGGCAGGCCUUCUUUCUGGUCUUCAUGCUACUGACCCAUUUUUUAGUAAACUAGCAUUCUGGCUCUGUAGGAUAAUCUAGGGGGUGUGGCCAAACCCUCUUCUUUUCACCCCUAGGGAUCAAUUUGUUUAUGCCUCUGAGCCUUCUUGGGAGGUAGCCAGUAAAUUCUAAUAUGCUGAGACUGAGAUUUCAUUUCUUAUUAAAUUCCUUUGAAAUAUCUGGGGACUCUUUUUUUUUUGAUUCCUUUAUUUUUUUCUUUUUUCUUUUUUUCUUUUAAUUUUUUUUAUUAACUUGAGUAUUUCUUAUUUACAUUUUGAAUGUUAUUCCCUUUCCUGGUUGCAGGGCAAACAUCCCCCUAAUCCCUUCCCCUCCCCUUCUUUAUGGAUAUUCCCCUCCCCACCCUCCCCCCAUUGCUGCCCUUCCCCCAACAAUCACAUUCACUGGGGGUUCAGUCUUAGCAGGACCAAGAGCUUCCCUUUACACUGGUGCUCUUACUAGGAUACUCAUUGCUACCUAUGAGGUCAGAGUCCAGGGUCAGUCCAUGUGUAGUCUUUAGGUAGUGGCUUAGUCCCUGGAAGCUCUGGUUGCUUGGCAUUGUUGUUCAUAAGGGGUCUCGAGCUCCUUCAAGCUCUUCCAGUUCUUUCUCUGAUUCCUUCAACGGGGGUCCCGUUCUCAGUUCAGUGGUUUGCUGGUGGCAUUCGCUUCUGUAUUUGCUGUAUUCUGGCUGUGUCUCUCAGGAGCGAUCUACAUCCGGCUCCUGUCGGUCUGCACUUCUUUGCUUCAUCCAUCUUGUCUAAUUGGGUGGCUGUAUAUGUAUGGGCCACAUGUGGGGCAGGCUCUGAAUGGGUGUUCCUUCUGUCUCUGUUUUAAUCUUUGCCUCUCUAUUCCCUGCCAAGGGUAUUCUUGUUCCCCCUUUUAAAGAAGGAGUGAGGCAUUCACAUUUUGAUCAUCUGUCUUGAGUUUCAUGUGUUCUAGACAUCUAGGGUAAUUCUAGCAUUUGGGCUAAUAGCCACCUAUCAAGGAGUGCAUACUAUGUGUGUUUUUCUGUGAUUGGGUUACCUCACUCAGGAUGAUAUUUUCCAGUUCCGACCAUUUGUCUAUGAAUUUCAUAAAGACAUUGUUUUUGAUAGCUGAGUAAUAUUCCAUUGUGUAGAUGUACCACAUUUUCUGUAUCCAUUCCUCUGUUGAAGGGCAUCUGGGUUCUUUCCAGCUUCUGGCUAUUAUAAAUAAGGCUGCUAUGAACAUAGUGGAGCACGUGUCUUUUUUAUAUGUUGGGGCAUCUUGUGGGUAUAUGCCCAAGAGAGGUAUAGCUGGAUCCUCAGGCAGUUCAAUGUCCAAUUUUCUGAGGAACCUCCAGACUGAUUUCCAGAAUGGUUUUACCAGUCUGGGGACUCUUCUUUAAGGGAGUAAUUAGAAGCUGCAGUAUCUACAUGGGUAUAUAAAAGAUAACACACACACACACAUAACACACACACAACACCCCCCCACCACACGGAAUAUUUUUGGGAAUGGGGUGCAGACCUGGAGAUUUAACCUAGAGGCCUUAUACAUGUUAGGCAGGAUCUUUUAUCUCUGGACACAUCUCCAGCCACCCCAUAAUUGGACCAGGCUUGGCUUGAACCACGAAUCCUUCUGCCUCAGGCUCCCAAGUAGCUGAGGUGCUACAGGCCUGUGCCGCUAAGCCCAGAUUCCCUACAGUAUUCUAUUUUACUUUAAUAUACUUUUUCUUUAUUUGCACAUGUGUGUGCCCACUUGUCUGUAUGUGCACCAUGUAUGUGAAAGGUCAGGCAGGUCCAGAAGUGGGCAUCAGAACUCGUGGAACUGGAACCAUAGAGAGUUGAGAGCUGCCCAUUGUGGGUGCUGGGAACAGAACUCAGGUCUCCUGCAAGAGCAGCAAAUGCCACUAACCCCUGAGCUGUCAACCCAAACCCAACUCUCCAUGUUUACUUUGGUCUCCCAGGUUUGCUAGAAAGUCACCCUGUACUCCAGGCUGGCUCCUAACUUUUGAGACUCCCUCCACCCUGGCCUCUCACAUACUAGGAUUGUAUGUAUGUAUGUGAGCCACCAGGCCAAGGUUGUUUAAAUUAUUUUUUUUGUAAUAAGCCUCUGUAUUAGGGAAGUGACCUCCUCUAAGAUCCAUACAUGAGGCUAGAGGUGUAGCUGGUUGAGGAAGGGUUUGCCUAGCAUGCUUGGCUCUCUGAAUUUGGUCUGCAGCACUGUAUAAAUUGGAGAAGGUAGUGCUCAGGGGUUAGACACAGGAGGAUUCAAAGUUAAAAGUCGAUCUUGACUAUAUAUUAAGUUCAAGACCAGUCUGGGUUAGAUGAGACCCUGUCUCAAUACCAACAAACAAACAAACAAGCACAUGUUGAAACUAUAACAUUAUAGCCUGAUAUGAUGACACUCAGGGGUGCGGCUUUUGGGGAGCAGUUUGGUGAAGAAAAGAUCACGGGAGCACACCCUAGGAUUGUUUAGAGCCCUUGUAGGAAGAGGAAGGGAUAGGAGAUGUAACUCAGGGGAAGACUACCUGAAGGAAGAAAAGCUAAUCUGUCUUUCUACCACGUAAGGGAUACCACACAGCAGCAAGAUGGCAGCCAUCCAAACUGGGUAACCCACAAGGAGCCAACUCAACACAUUUCAUUUUGUGGGGGUUUUGCUUACUCAUUUGUUUUAUUUUUGGUUUUUCAAGCAUGGUUUCUCUGUGGAGCCAUAGUUGUCCUAGAACUUGCUUUGUAGACCAGGCUGGCUUCGAACUCAGACAUCCUCGUACCUCUGCCUCCCAGUGCUGGGAUCAGAGGCAUGCAUCACCACACUGGGCUUCAACUAGGCGUGAGUUUGGCCUUUCUAGACUUGCCAGCAGUGGACUUCAGUGACUGUUUCUGCCUCCUGUCUGUGUUAUUAUGUUACUGCUGCCUGAGCUGAAGAGAGAGAGGG
ensembl:lncRNA